rnacentral:lncRNA from 1 species
UGAUGUUUACACAACAUGCAACAAUUUUAACAACAAAAUACAAGUAAUUUUGACGAAAACUAGCCGAAUCGAAAAACCCUAAUUUUGUGAAUCAACACAAACUUGAGCAAAAGCCGGUGAGGGUAACAUCGAUCGAAAGCUCGUGGCUAGUAGAACCGGAAUAUACCCGCUCUGAUACCAUGUUAACAUUGUAACUCGACGGAUUGAGAGAAAACUUGAAGAAGAAGAUGAACAGUGUCGAUGAGAGAGAAGAGAGAAAUUGAAGACUGAAAAGAAUG